rnacentral:rRNA from 1 species
ACUUUCAGUCGGGAGGAAGGCGUUGAUACUAAUAUCAUCAACGAUUGACGUUACCGACAGAAAAAACACCGGCUAACUCCGUGCCAGCAGCCGCGGUAAUACAGAGGGUGCAAGCGUUAAUCUGAAUUACUGGGCGUAAAGCGCACGCACGCGAUUGAUUAAGUUAGAUGUGAAAUCCCCGGGCUUAACCUGGGAAUGGCAUCUAAGACUGGUCAGCUAUAGUCUUGUAGAGAGGGGUAGAAUUCCAUGUGUAGCGGUGAAAUGCGUAGAAGAUGUGGAAGGAAUACCGGUGGCGAARGGCGGCCCCCUGGACAAAAGACUGACRCUCAGGUGCGAAAGCGUGGGGAGCAAAMAGGAUUAGAUACCCUGGUAGUCCACGCUGUAAACGAUGUCGAUUUGAAGGUUGUUCCCUUGAGGAGUGGCUUUCGGAGCUAACGCGUUAAAUCGACCGCCUGGGGAGUACGGCCGCAAGGUUAAAACUCAAAUGAAUUGACGGGGGCCCGCACAAGCGGUGGAGCAUGUGGUUUAAUUCGAUGCAACGCGAAGAACCUUACCUACUCUUGACAUCCAGAGAAUUUAGCAGAGAUGCUUUAGUGCCUUCGGGAACUCUGAGACAGGUGCUGCAUGGCUGUCGUCAGCUCGUGUUGUGAAAUGUUGGGUUAAGUCCCGCAACGAGCGCAACCCUUAUCCUUUGUUCCAGUGAUUCGGUCGGGAACUCAAAGGAGACUGCCAGUGAUAAACUGGAGGAAGGUGGGGAUGACGUCAAGUCAUCAUGGGCUUUAGGUUUAGGGCUACACACGUGCUUCAAU